rnacentral:pre_miRNA from 1 species
ACAGGAUGGAUCUGUGGCUGAACUUUUGGAGAUUCUGUCCUAUUUCUUCCUGGUGC